rnacentral:ribozyme from 1 species
ACAAAACGACGAUGACAAUUUUAUUUCGGAACCUCUUGAAGGUUAACACAGGCUCUCCUACUCAACUCCUGUUCCGAAACGUCCUCGUCGUGCAUAGUGAUACCAAACAUCCCCAAUUUCUCCAAACUUGAGUAUACAGGAUUGUUUCAUCCCCUUGGGCGGAUGGUGAUGUGAAGGAGGAGCAGGGUGGG